rnacentral:rRNA from 1 species
UACGGAGGGUGCGAGCGUUGUCCGGAAUCACUGGGCGUAAAGGGCGCGUAGGUGGCGGCCCAAGUCCUGGUGAAAGCUCGAUGCUCAACAUCGAGUCGGCCACGGAUACUGGGUUGCUCGAGCACUGUAGGGGCAGCAUGGAAUUCCGGGUGUAGCGGUGGAAUGCGUAGAGAGUCAGCAGGAGUACCCGUGGCGAAGGCGGCCCCCUGGGCCGAACCUGACGCUGAGGCGCGAAGGCUAGGGGAGCGAACGGG